GUUAAGUGCCCCGCCUGGGAAGUACGGUCGCAAGACUAAAACUCAAAGGAAUAGACGGGAGCUUGCACAAGCGGUGGAGCGUCUGGUUUAAUUCGACGAUAAGCGAAGAACCUUACCAGGAUUUGAAAUUCUAGUGAAACCCCGAUGAAAGUCGGGUCUUCUACAAGGACACUAGAACAGGUGCUGCAUGGUUGUCGUCAGCUUGUGGCGUGAGUUGCUCCGUUAAGUCGGGUAACAAGCGCAACCCUCGUUCUGCGUUACAAGUGUCGCAGGAGACUGCCUCAUUAUAUGAGGAGGAAGGCGAGGAUGACGCCAAAUCAGCAUGGCCCUUUGAUAUCCUGGGCAACACAGGCGCUACAAUGGCCGAUACAAUGGGUCGCUAAGUCGUAAGAUGGAGCCAAUCCCAUGCAAAGUCGGUCCCAGUUCGGAUUGAGGUCUGAAAUUCGACCUCAUGAAGCCGGAAUCGCUAGUAAUCGCGGAUCAGCUACGCCGCGGUGAAUACGUUCUCAAGCUUUGUACUCACCGCCUGUCACGCCAGAGAAGCCGGAAGCACCCGACGUCUCCCGAUUUAUCGGGAUCCUAAGGUGAGUUCGGUGACUAGGGCGAAGUCAUAACAAGGCAUCCGUAGGGGAACCUGUGGAUGGAAAUAUUUUUAC
rfam:Candidatus Portnoybacteria bacterium RBG_13_40_8 RBG_13_scaffold_1107, whole genome shotgun sequence.